AUUGAACGCUGGCGGCAUGCCUUACACAUGCAAGUCGAACGGCAGCACGGGGCAACCUGGUGGCGAGUGGCGAACGGGUGAGUAAUGCAUCGGAACGUACCUUUCAGUGGGGGAUAACGUAGCGAAAGUUACGCUAAUACCGCAUAUUCUGUGAGCAGGAAAGCAGGGGAUCGCAAGACCUUGCGCUGAUUGAGCGGCCGAUGUCAGAUUAGCUCGUUGGUGAGGUAAAGGCUCACCAAGGCGACGAUCUGUAGCGGGUCUGAGAGGAUGAUCCGCCAGACUGGAACUGAGACACGGUCCAGACUCCUACGGGAGGCAGCAGUGGGGAAUUUUGGACAAUGGGGGCAACCCUGAUCCAGCCAUGCCGCGUGAGUGAAGAAGGCCUUCGGGUUGUAAAGCUCUUUCGGCCGGGAAGAAAUCGCACGGGCUAAUACCCUGUGUGGAUGACGGUACCGGAAUAAGAAGCACCGGCUAACUACGUGCCAGCAGCCGCGGUAAGAC
rnacentral:rRNA from 1 species